rnacentral:snRNA from 1 species
UAUCGGGUAAAGCCAAUG